GGGGACCUUCGGGGCCCUUUUACUUCGGUCACCUCGCACGAGGGGGCUUACAUCAGGCGGGUUUCCCGCCAGUAGCUAACGGAAGACAGAAA
rfam:Pseudooceanicola flagellatus strain CGMCC 1.12644 genome assembly, contig: Ga0171584_103